UUGUUAGAACUUUUUAUUGUCAGAAACCACCAGAAGACUAUAGUACUAACCCUAAUUUUCAGAAACAAUUCUCAAUCCAUUUUCAUCGUCCUAUUUAUACACAAACUUAGCAAAGAUAGCACCGAAAGAAAGCUAUGAAGAUUUAUCAAUCUCAACAUCAAAGAGGUAAGAGAAAGCUGCUUCUGAUUUCAGUAAUAGAACCAUUUCCUAAAGUUGUUUUUAUUUUAUUUCCAAGUUUCAACCAAAGGGAAACCAUCAAAAUCCAUCUUCGUACUAACAAUGAUAUAACUUAUAUUAGAUUGUUUUUGAAUUAUAUUAGUCUGCUGGAAACUCUUUUUGCUGAAAUCUUGGUUGAUAUCCUAAUUCUGUUGACAAGAAUUAGCCCCAAAUUUCACGGGAUUGGGGUUGCGAGGAAGCUUAAGAGUGUUCUCUUCUCCUUUAAGUUGCUUUCAAGUACUGUUUUGAUAUUUUGGAAUUAUUUUCAUUGCUUAGGCAUUCGCUUAUCUGUGUUCCCAGCUGCCUUAAUCAUGAUUUCCGCAGAUUCUUGUUUUAUGUAUUAAUUUGGUUUUUUUAUGUUGUCUCCUCUUGUCGUUUUGUCUUUUUGUUUUCUUGAGCCGAGUAUUUUUCGGAAACAGCCUCUCUACUCCUUUGGGUAGGGGUAAGGUCUGCGUACACACUACCCUCCCCAUACCCCAUUAGUGGGAUUAUACUGGGUUGUUAUUGUUGUAUAUAAAAACAAGUAUAUACAAGCAAACAUGCAGAAAUGCAAUUUAGUCCAUCUAUGACAUGUUAUAUGAAUGAAAGGGCAAAGAUUAACGGACUAUUGCUAAAUUAUGUUGUUUUAUGUGUAGGAGCAUCGGAAGACAACGACGAGUGAAGGUUGCAAAAAAAGAUGACGAAAAUGCAAGAAAAUAGCAAAAAAUGCCAAGUACCCAAACCGCGCUACAGACCAGGCUUCGCGAGGUCUAUAUCCAGCUUGACCGCGCUACAGACCAGGCUUCGCGAGGUCUAUAGCCAGGUUGACCACGAUCGCGGGUUAAAAGUCUCCAACCCGAAUUUGGACUCAAGGACUUCAACUCUAGCCUAUAAAUACUCCUUAAACAUGUCUAAGAGAAUAGGAGGACGUUUUUAGUGCAAAUUCGACCUAAAGAAGACGCUUUUGGAGAGAGGAUUCGACUUAAGGAGGUAAGAACACGCUAGGAGCAAGGCUAAGAAUUCUUCUACGAGUUUUUCACUUCCUUCUUCCUAUUUCCAUUAUUGGUUAUGAUCAAUUCUAGUAUUAUACUUUAGCAUACUAUUAUGAAUAGCUAAUUUGUUAUCUAGGGUUUUGAUGGAACCUUUUGUGGGAUGGAUUCUUAUUACGUUUUUAUAUAAUUGAGUCGUUGGAUUUCUCUUCUUGUUCAACUACGUGUUUAUUGAUGUUGAUUGAAUGGCCAUCAAUUGACUGUGCCUAUUUAAUGUAUAUAUUUCUCGAGAGAGAGUACACAUUUAGGUAGUCGUUGAACAACAUCACUCCUAACGUAUAUGAGAGAUCAAUACGAAAAGUUUAAAGGCGGGAUUAGAGAUAAUGAAACAUUAGUGCGGUCGUAGUGAGCGGUGAGUUAGUGACAACUAGCGUAGUUCGAGAGAAUAUGUCUAGUAAAUUGUGGUAGUUGCUCGAAAGAGAAUUACGACACCCGAAGUACUCACGAUCGGUAGAGAAUACUUAGGAGAAAUUAUAGAAGACGUAGCGGGAAGGAUUCCGACAAUUGGGGAAAUCAUAACUCUAGACCUCCUUAAUCUAUUCUGCAACCCUUAUUAUCUUUAGUUGUUAAUAUACUAGUUUAAUUUAUUAGUUAAUUAGAUGUAAGAAUCUUAAUAUUUAUAACUUAGAAAUUGUUCGAGCUUGUCUUGUUAGUGAUAGUUAACAGUUCUAGCUAAACCUUAGUUCUAUGUGGGAUUCGACUUCGGACUUCGGACUUUUAGACCGGAUUAUAUUUGCAGCGACCGCUUAUCCAUUUUAGGACUAGAGUUGGGCGUGAUCACUUACUUUUGUUAAUGACUUUGCAGAUCAGUUUACUGCUCCAUAGGCACACGAUUUUGUUGUUCUUGCCUCAUUUUCAAAACCUAAAAGAAUUCCAACUUUGUGGCAUCCAGAAAAGGUUCAUGCAAUCCCACUAAGUCAACUUUGUGUAUUCUAACUAGUCUUUCACUUGCACCUUGUGAUCUCAUCCCCCUUAUAUUCCAAUUGAUGAUGUUAAUCAUUAAAACAAAUUGGGUUUUGCUUAGCACCUUCAGUUUUGUUGGUAUUGUCGGGCUUGGCUGGCCCUCCCUUAUCUUCUUGAAUGUUAAACUAAAAUGAAAAAAUUAUAUGUUCUUCUACAUACUCGCCUUGUCAUGAUACAUUCUUUAUUGAGAUACACGUAGUAGAAUUUGAUAAAACCUAAAACAUCUUCCUAAGAAGUUCUGAGAUGGUAUGAAUUAUCAUAAUAUAAUGGCACCAUUAAAUUAAAGCAUCAUCCUUAUAUGCAACAGCUAUUUCGAAAAUCAAGAAAACAAGAAACUAAAACUCACCUUAUAAUUGUACAGUCAAGGCAAAUAAACUGUCCAGGAAGAGAGAAGACUAAAAGAAACAAGGGAAAUUGGAAGAGGAGGUAAGCAACGGUGGAAAUUUUGAGGAAGAAAUAUAGACUGUGCAAAUCGGGUGGAAACAGAGUGUAGAUAUGUUCGUUUGAGCGGUGUAAAGUACGUGUCAAAAUAAAGUAGGGUUAACAUGUGACUUAUGUCAAAAUAUUUGUAGCUUUCCCAAAACAAGGGAAUCAGUUUGUUAAGUGCUCUUAUAAGUGCUUAUGCAGUCAAGAGUAAUAAGGAAAGGGAUAGAUGAUCACACUGUUUCAGAUCUCUGGAGGAUAUGAAGAAUCCAUGUUUGAUUCCAUUAAUAAGUAUGGAGUACCAGUUAUUAGUUAGGAGUAUUCUGAGAAGUUCAUUUUCCUGUGGAUAGCUAUAAGGAAGCUCCGGGAUAGCUUGUCGUAUGCUUUAGACAAUCAAGCUUAAUAACAAUGUUGCCUCCCUUAUUUCUUUCCCAAUCCUAUGAACAUUUUCCUGGGCUAGGAGGAUAUUUUUAGUGAUGAGUCUGCCUUUCACGAACUUAGUUUAUUUGUCUGAAAUGAGUUUAGGGAGCGGUUGGGAAAUACCGAUAGAGAUAAUCUUGUUGGAGACAUUGCAAAGGCUAAUUUGUCUUAGUUACGCCACAGUAGUGGGGGAAGGUACCUUGCGAAUAAGCACAAGGUUAGUAUGAGUGUAGUAUCAUGUGAGAUUAGUGCCUAGGAAAACAUUCCGAAAAAAGUUGCAAUCUUCCUUUUUGAUAGUGCCCGAGGACGCUUGAAAGAAGUGGCCAUUGAAUACAUCAUGGCAUGUAGCACUAUUUGGGUCAAUAGAGAAAAUAGCACUUCUAAUUUCUUCUACCUCUCAGAUGUCAUAAAUGAGCCUAUUAUUAUCCUCAGUGAAAAGAGGUUCUACUUAUCUGAGAAUAGACAUGUCAUUAUCUCAAGGAGUAAGUGUAAAAAGGUUAUUGAAAUGAUCCACAACUGCAUUUGAGAUGGCUUCAUUGCCCUCGAUCCAUGCUCUAUGCUUAGUUUUAUUCCUCUGUGUGUAGGUGAGACUCCCUUCUUUUUUCCUUUUCUUUAUCACACUGUAUUAAUAUUUGGAGUUGGAACACCUUGUUUUGCCCACUUCAUCCUUGCUUUCUGUUUAAGAAUAGAUUCCUCCAUUUAGAGCCAUUUAAUGCACCUCAUCUAUGUUCCAGUUCCCUAACUAUAGAUACAUAAUCACUCUGUAUGGUCCAAAUGUUUAGGAAUCUCAGAACCUGUCUUAGCUUUAUGAUCAACUUUGUUGACCUGAAAGUGGUUUGUGCCUUCCUCAUUAACCAUAAUCCUAUCUAGCCUCUUGUUGAUUCUUCUCCCUUUUCCCUACCCAUUGCACAGAUUUCCAGUGAAUCCAUUGUCGGACAUGCCACCGUUUUCCAUACAAGCAAUAAAAUCAGUGCUUUUGCUCAGGUUGUAUGGUGUACCUCCUUUUUCAUUAUUUAUCAUAAUGGAUUCCAGACCGGAAAGCAUUUAGUCUGCUCCAGAGCCUACGUCUUUUCACUAAGUGGAUUUAGCAUACACCCAUGUGAUCCAUAGAAGUUUAUUAUCAUAGUUGGCCUUUAGAGUAUGUUGUUGCUUACUGGUGUUAGGCCAAAAUAUUAUACUUUUAGUACAUUACUCACCUUACAUGUUGUUAGUUUAGUAGUUAAUUGUGCGACGUUUGAGCUAAAUUAUGUUUUUUUAUGUGUAAGAGCAUCGGAAGACAAAAACAAGUGAAGGUUGCACAAAAAGAUGACGAAAAUGCAAGAAAAUAACACAAAAAUGCCAAAUACCCAAAUCGCGCUACAGACCAGACUUCGCGAGGUCUAUAGCCAGCUUGACCGCGCUAUAGACCGGGCUUCGCGAGGUCUAUAGCCAGGUUGACCGUGCUAUAAGUCUGGCUUCGCGAGGUAUAUAGUCCGGUAAUUAAAAAUCGCGGGCUAAAAAUCUCCAACCGAGAUUUGGACUCAAGGACUUCAAUCGUAGCCUAUAAAUACUCCCUAAUCAUGUCUAAGAGAAGGGGAGGACAUUUUUAGUGCAAAUUCGACCUAAAGAAGAUGCUUUUGGAGAGAGGAUUCGACUUAAGGAGGCAAGAACACGCUAGGAGCAAGGCGAAGAAUUCUUCUACGAGUUUUUCACUUCCUUCUUCCUAUUUUCAUUAUUGGUUAUGAAUUCUAGUAUUGUACUUUUGCAUACUAUUAUGAAUAGCUAAUUUGUUAUCUAGAGUUUUGAUGGAACUUCUUAUUACGUUUUUUUAUAAUUGACUCGUUGGAUUUCUCUACUUGUUCAACAACGUGUUUAUUGAUGUUGAUUGAAUGACCAUCAGUUGACUGUGCCUAUUUAUUGUGUAUAUUUCGAGAGAGAGAGAGUACACAUUUAGGUAGUCUUUGAACAUCAUUCCUAACGUAUGUGAGAGAUCAAUACGGAGAGUUUAAAGGUGGGAUUAGAGAUAAUGAAACCUUCAUACGAUCGUAGUGAGUGGUGAGUUAGUGUCAACUAGCGUAGUUCAAGAGAAUAUGUCUAGUAAAUUGUGGUAGUUGCUUGAGAGAGAAUUACGACACCCGAAGUACUCCGAUCAGCAGAGAAUACUUAGGUGAAAUUAUAGAAGACGUAGCGGGAAGGAUUCUGACAAUUGAGGAAAUCAUAAUCUAGACCCUCCUUAAUCUAUUCCACAACCCUUAUUAUCUUUAGUUGUUAAUCUACUAGUUUAAUUUAUUGGUUAAUUAGAUACAAGAAUCUUAAUAUUCAUAACUUAGGAAUUGUUCGAGCUUGUCUUGUUAGUGAUAGUCAACAGUUCUAGCUAAAUCUUAGUUCUUUGUGGGAUUCGACUUCGGACUUUUAGACCAAAUUAUAUUUGUAGCGAUCGCUUAUCCAUUUUAGGACUAGAGUUGGGCGUGAUCAC
rnacentral:lncRNA from 1 species